rnacentral:rRNA from 1 species
UACCCGCAGCACAAGUGGUGGUCAUUAUUAUUGGGCCUAAAGCGUCCGUAGCUGGCCUGUUAGAUGCCUGGGUAAAUCGAUGCGCUCAACGUAUCGACUUCCGGGUAGACCGGCAGGCUCGGGACCGGGAGAGGCGUGAGCUACUCGAGGGGUAGGGGUAAAAUCCUGUAAUCCUUCGGGGAGGACCAGUGGCGAAGGCGUCACGCUAGAACGGCUCCGACAGUGAGGGACGAAGCCCUGGGGCGCAAACCGG